rnacentral:rRNA from 2 species
AGAGUUUGAUUCUGGCUCAGGACGAACGCUGGCGGCGUGCUUAACACAUGCAAGUCGAACGAUGAAGCGGUGCUUGCACCGUGGAUUAGUGGCGAACGGGUGAGUAAUACGUGAGUGACCUACCUUUGACUCUGGGAUAAGCCUGGGAAACUGGGUCUAAUACCGGAUACGACCAAUCUCCGCAUGGGGUGUUGGUGGAAAGCGUUAUGGAGUGGUUUUAGAUGGGCUCACGGCCUAUCAGCUUGUUGGUGAGGUAAUGGCUUACCAAGGCGACGACGGGUAGCCGGCCUGAGAGGGUGACCGGCCACACUGGGACUGAGACACGGCCCAGACUCCUACGGGAGGCAGCAGUGGGGAAUAUUGCACAAUGGGCGCAAGCCUGAUGCAGCGACGCCGCGUGAGGGAUGACGGCCUUCGGGUUGUAAACCUCUGUUAGCAUCGAAGAAGCGAAAGUGACGGUAGGUGCAGAGAAAGCGCCGGCUAACUACGUGCCAGCAGCCGCGGUAAUACGUAGGGCGCGAGCGUUGUCCGGAAUUAUUGGGCGUAAAGAGCUUGUAGGCGGUUGGUCGCGUCUGCUGUGAAAGGCUGGGGCUUAACCCUGGUUUUGCAGUGGGUACGGGCUAACUAGAGUGCAGUAGGGGAGACUGGAAUUCCUGGUGUAGCGGUGGAAUGCGCAGAUAUCAGGAGGAACACCGAUGGCGAAGGCAGGUCUCUGGGCUGUAACUGACGCUGAGAAGCGAAAGCAUGGGGAGCGAACAGGAUUAGAUACCCUGGUAGUCCAUGCCGUAAACGUUGGGCACUAGGUGUGGGGGACAUUCCACGUUUUCCGCGCCGUAGCUAACGCAUUAAGUGCCCCGCCUGGGGAGUACGGCCGCAAGGCUAAAACUCAAAGGAAUUGACGGGGGC